CUCAAAGAUUAAGCCAUGCAAGUGGUUUGUUACCCCGACAGUCUAAAUUAGUGUCUAAAGUCUAUGGUUUAUGGUUUAACGGUCUAAUGCCUCGUGUAUCACUCUCCCUUUAUACAUAACCUUACACGAGCCAUUCCAUGUUAGAAAUAUAUUACUAAUGCAACUGCAAACAGCUGCUUAAUACAGUUACACUUGUCUUGACUUGGCCUUCCUAGGUCCGCUUUAUUGCUUGACUGCUCUCAAAAGAGUAUAUUCUGCUAAUCCCUUAUCUAUUAUGGAUAACUCAGGGAAAGCUUGGCUAAUACAUACGAGAAUUCUAACUUACCCCACCACCACCAUUCUCAGCUCUCAAUGGAAGAACUUAUUGGCACAGCUCUUUGCAAUAUAAUGUGUAAGCUUCGGCUUAUUACGUUUAUGCUCUAGAGUCGAUGUGUCAAACCACACUAUUUUAUCCUAAGUUCUCAAGCAACAUGAAAGACAUUGAGUAAGCCAUUGCUUUAGUUUAAUUUUAUUAAACUAAGCUCUUAGAGCAGAGCAGACAUUGUAAAGAUUAUCUUUACGAUGCAUGUCAUACAAGCAUCUACAGCAUCAAGUCACAGGGUUGGCAAGUGUAUUUUUGAACCUUCAAAGCAGUCACGCAUACGGAAGAGUAGUUUCUGAUCCCAUAGAAGGAGCACCGUGCAAUGAGAGACCGCUCUUAGUUCUAAGGAACGCAGCAGGCGCGUAAAUUGCCCAAUGACAGUACCCUACGAUAAUACAGCUCUUUAAUAGAGACUGGUUAACGAUAUCUAUUGAUUCAUUGCGAUUACAUACGCAACACACAACCUGACCGUAUAUGAGUAAUUCAUUACUCCUCUAUACAAACCAUACCUUACACUUAUACAUUGACUAUUCUGUCAAUUGUUUAUUAAACAUAUAUCCUUGUCAUCUGUGUGACGCGUAAACUGUAUAGCAUAUCUGAUAUCCUAUAUAUCUUUUACGUUGAGGCAGUGAUAAGCUGUAACGGUUGAGUAUAAUUAUUGACGAGUGUCUGGCAUUGCCGCGCCUUCGGGCGUUGGCAAGUUGCCGACGCUUAGUGUGCUCAAUUGGAAUGCGGUGAGUCUAAGCCACUCAGAAUCUCUUAGCGGUUAGCGCUUAACAGCGUUUAACUGUUGAUCUAUCUGAAUUUCAAGUGGAGGGCAAGUCUGGUGCCAGCAGCCGCGGUAAUACCAGCUCCACUGGCCUAUACAAUCAUUGUUGCGGUUAAGAGGCUCGUAGUUGGAUUGAACUAACAUAUUAAAGCUCUCUCUCUCUCUUAUACUUUACUGUGUAUGCAAGAUACAUACACUGAGAGAAAGUGUUAGUAUCGCAUGUAUAUCUUCUUUCUAUCCUAUUCACUAAUGGAAAGUUACAUGCUCGACUGUAUUUGCUAAUAGCAAUAACAAGUCUGAAUGUGAUACAUACACCUUACCGUACACUCUUUACUGUAUCAGUGUGUAUCUCUUGUAAAGAGAGAUAUAUAUAUAGAGACCUUUACUGUUCCAACACUGUGAACAAAUCAGAGCGUAUCAAGCGUGUUGUUCUAACCUGUGCAUUGAAUGUCUUAUCAUGGAAUGUUGCACUCAUUGGUUAAGAAUUACAAGCCACUCUUUUGUAUUGUAAUACACUAAUAACUCUUUACAAAGAGUGGUGGUAAUCUACAUUCUUACUGCUAAGAAUACGUCGAUGGGGAUAGUUGGAGUAAGCAGUACUGCUGGGCGAGCGGUGAAAUGCGUUGACCCUAGCAAUACUCCCAAAAGCGAAAGCAGCUUACUAGGCUAUACUCUUUGUGUUUAUACUGUAUUUUAUGCUAAUAGCUUCUUAUACUCUAUAUUUCAAUAAAAGCUAUUACAUAUAUAUACUCUAUUUCACUUAACAAUGAUGAACGAAGGUUGGGGGAUCAAAGAGGAUCAGAUACCCUCGUCGUCCCAUUUGUUACAGCAAACGAUGGACUCUCAAUUGCAAUUGUUAAAUUACAGUCAGUAAUUGAAUCUAUGUACCCUCCAACCUGCAAAUUAUAACCUGGCUUGAGCUCGUAUUCUCUAUCUCUUAACAGAAUAGAUCUUACGCUCGCCUAACAUUUUAAUACGUACGGUCUCGAUGGAACAUUACCUUACAAUCUGAGUAAUCUUUUUUUGCGUGUAAGCUUUUACAUGUCUGGUUCUUUAUGUAAUAAAGCUUAGCUUUAUAGCUUGGCUCUUUACAUGGCCUUACAUGGCGUGCACUUGAUUUUCGGAGCUUUGCGCUCAAUUCUGGUGAGAUGUAAGCACUUAUGUUCGACUGCCACCUUAGCUUUUAACCUUUUAGUCUAACUAAAUAGGCUUUAUCUGCCUCUCGUGUGACGCAUGUCGUAACAACCUUUAGUGUGAAGCACGUGUUAGGCACGCGCUUACUGCAGAAAUGUCUGAGACAUUCUCCUCCGGGGGUAGUAUGCACGCAAGUGUGAAACUUGAAGGAAUUGACGGAAGGGCACCACAAGAACGCGUGGAGCAUGUGGCUUAAUUUGACUCAACGCGGGGAAUCUUACCGGGUCCGGACACACUGAGGAUUGACAGGCAAAUCUAAUAGAAUCUUUCUCAUUUUUAAUGAGUAUAGAUUUCUAUUUGUUAUAAAGAUGCUAGUCCUUUCAUGAUUAUGUGAUAGGUGGUGCAUGGCCGUUCUUAGUUCGUGGAGUGAUCUGUCUGCUUAAUUGCGUUUCACUAAGGUCCAGUAAUCUAAGGUAUGCUCGUCUACUUAUCUCAUAUGACGCUGAUAGACCCCUCGUAAGAGCGCGUUGUCUAUUGCGUUAAUAUAUGUAACAAGUGACACAUACUGUUGGGAUCUGAAAGCAACGAACGUGACCGCAACGUCUUGUUGCCUUUCUAAUUUAUUCUAAUUCUUUUGUAAUUAGUCUAAUAACAAAGGCUAUUCUUUAAACUAGACGGACCGCUGUUUCUCUUUUAAACCAGAGGAAGGUUGCGGCAAUAACAGGUCUGUGAUGCCCUUAGAUGUUCCGGGCUGCACACGUGCUACAAUGAUCAGUACAGUGAGCAUCUCAAUUUAUUACUAACACCGCUUUAUUAAAGCAUUCAGUGUGUAGUUGUGUAAGCAGCUGCCUCUGAUAUGCGCGGUAACACCUGUCUCGAGAGUCGAUGGGUAAUCCAUUAGAAGUAAUGAUUCCUCUCUUUUAUAUAGCACACUGAUAUACAGCAUCGGUUCCCGAGGUAACCUUGUGUUACUUAUGUGCGAGCGUGAUGUCAGAGCUUAACGUUUAUUAUUCUUUAUGUCUAAUAGAUCUCUGAUUUUACUGUAUGUGCAAUUGUUAAUUCGUGGUGGGGACAGACCAUUGUUAACUAUUGGUCUCGGUCUUAACUAGGAAUGCCUCGUACGGGUCUUGGUUCAACAAGCCACCCGGAAUACGUCCCUGCCCUUUGUACACACCGCCCGUCGCUCUUACCGAUGAACUUCUUUGUGAGUCUAAGGGACUGGGUAAUGAUUCAUUCUUUUCUAAAGUUUGAAUUACCUAUAGAAACUUAGCCGAACAAGGUGGUUUAAAGGAAAGAGAAGUCGUAACAAGGCAGCAGUAGGUGAACCU
rnacentral:rRNA from 1 species